rnacentral:lncRNA from 1 species
UAAUGAGGGUCUUGGUGCUAGUGCCAUUGAUCAGUUGAUCCUACUUUCAUGGAGGCAUUACCUGAGGACUUGCUGGCAGAAGUGCUAGCUUCCCAGCAAGCUUCGUCUGUUCAACCUAACUUACGCACCACCUUCUGCUGAUGAUAUCGAUCCUCAGUUUUCAGCUGCUCUUCCUCCUGAUAUCCGAGCAUAGUUUUGGCCCAACAGAUAGCACAGGGGUUGGCUCAUCACGGAGAAGGACAGCCAGUUGACAUGGAUAAUGCUUCAGUUAUUGCAACUUUUCCUGCUGAUUUAUGUGAAGAGGUGCCAUUUUUUAAAUUUUUCUUUAAGUUACUAAUCAAACUGCAAUAACCUUUCUGCUUUUGGUGUUAUUCCAGGUACUUUUGACUUCUUCAGAAGCUGUUUUGUCCGUGCUGCCUUCUUCAUUACUUGCUGAAGCUCAUAUAUCAAGGGUCCAAGCAAAGAGUCAUUAUCGGACCUGCAGUCUUUUUGGAGGAAGUAAUGAAGAAGGUAGAAGAGCAGACAGUGAUGGACAAGGGUGUUGGGGUUACAAUAGGUAGAAGAGCAGCUUCUGCUAUUGCAGAUAGCUUGAAAGGAAGGAAAUUAAAGUAGAACCUCUUCUGAUGCAAAUGCACUGAAAGCCUUGAUCCAACUUUUACGAUUAACUCAGGUAAAGCAAUAUUCUAUUUUACGGUUAAUUUGCUCUGGAAUACCUGCAAAAAAUUUUUAUUUAGAAAUAUAAAUCUGUAUCAAUCAUUGAAAUUUACAAACAAAUCAUUGUUUAGAAAAAUAAGGUGGUUGGUUGGGUUUGGACGAUGAAUAGAGAUUGCAUUAUGCUAAUUGCCAAUAAAUGAAUUAUUGUACUCUGUUCAAUCUGGACUCCACUCCACUCUAAUCAGCUUUUGUUUUUUGAAAAACAAAACCUCGAUUUCAAAUGAAGCUAAGAUGGUACAUGUGUUAAUCAGUUGCGAUGAUGAUGAUUUAGUUUGUGCUAUAUUCAGUUAGUUUUUCAUCUAAAAGUAUUUUGUUUACUUAUACAGUCUAUUAUCGGUUUGCUUUCUUUGGGUGAAAAGCUUUUGGCUUCAUUUCUGGAUGUCAUGAGAAUCUCAGAAUUGUGAUAUUGAAAGGGUUUUUGAUGCAUUGAUGUCGAAGCAGGUGUGUAAAACAACAAAAUAUAGACUUUCUACUAUUUCUGAUAUGCUAAAGGAGUCCUUUGCUUGCUAUAUGCAUGUUCAUGUCUUUGUUUGAUACAUAUGUGCUUGCAUGGUUCUUUCUUUGUUUUGGGGGUUAAGGCCUCAACAGUUCUUUUUUUUUUUUUUCACUCCUGGAUAUCAAUUAUUAAUUAUUGACUUGAUUAGCAGGAUAUUCUUUAAUCAGCAACUAAUUUUAUUGAAGUUGAACUGAUCUGAUGUGUUAUUAGUUGAGCAGAGGUCUAUUGUUAAGUAACCAUUUUGACCUAAAAUUGGUUUGUCACUAAAUCUUGAUCUUGGCUUCUAAUGAUCUACCUUGCUUUUGAUUGGUUAAUUUCCGGCCAGCCACAAGAUGCAGCAUAGAGGCAACAUUUGGAAUGACUUGCUGGUAUCCUGGGCAUUUCAUUAGCCUGAAUGCAGAUGGAACCGCUUGCCUAAAUUGCCUAAAGCAGUAUUCAAUAUGUAGUGAGUUGACUUUUCUACCAAAUACUGAAUGCUACGCGGAGCAAUGUAAAUCAUCUUUGAUCUGUGGACCUAGCUUAUUUUUUGUCCUUUUCUUUGAUUUUGCUGAUUAAAUGGAAUAGGUCUUCGAGUUUGUUCCUCAUUGCCAGUGUUCGGAAGAAAAUAAUAAUAUAGAGCCUUGUCCUUUCUGCAUGUGAGUCUCAUGGAUCAAACCACAUCUGGCAUUUGCUAUAUUUUCAACAGCCAUUGGAGGGCCAUGAAUCAUUGAUAUGUGGGUCUUUAUACUCAAUCAGUAAGCGAAACUCGUGCUAAAACUCCGUACGUCAACAAAACGUACCCUUUACAUUGUUUCCCUGAUCUAUGUCUUUUUGUAUGAAUGAUUUCAGGAAAAGCCAGCACUCAUUCUAGCUAGCAGUGCAGCAGAUAUGGAGUUAACGACUCAAUGUUAAGGGAACCUAAUAAUUAACCUGUCUCAAUCUCUCUGUGGAAUUUGAGCUUGACAAUGGAAGCAUAAGGUCUUCAAAUCUUACAAAAUAUGAUAUGUUGCCAUCGGCGUGGCAGACAGAAUCUAGCAAAGAUAACUUGAUGUGCCUACUAUAAUUGUUUUUGAAAUAAAAUUAUAAUCUUUUUUUUUUUUUUGGGGAUAGAAUAACAGUAUUGGUUCUGAUCAUAUUUAAUCAUCCUCAUCGUUUGUUUUUUUUCAACUAUAUGCUCAUAGCUUUAUAUUUUCUUACAGCUCCAUUCCUUUAACUUACAGAAAAUAGAUUGUUGAGAGUACCGGUUCAAGCAUCUGUGGCCUGUGGGAGCUCUUCUCUUUUCAUACAAAAUAUAAAAUAGGGGCAGAUUUCUCACUAAAUAUUUAAUAGCGAGACUAUGUUUGGUAAAUCACUUGGUAAAUUAUAAAUGUAUGUAUCCCAUUUCCUAAUAUACCUCUUGUAACAUGUAUACAUAUAGACUAUAACAGUUAAAAUUUAAAAAAUAUAUAUAGAAAAAAAAAGGUAAUAUGGUUUGAAUGAUCAUCCUUGAGUUGAUUAAACAGAUUGUAUUGUGUCAUAUCAAAGGCAGGGAAAAUGAUCUUUUCUUGAUCAAAUCUCUUCUGAGUUUUUUAAGAUUUUAUGUCAUGUGUCUUUUAGUGGUAGUGUAUGGAUAAAAUUCAACUUCUUUUAUUUUUUUUAUUUAUUAACUACUCAUCAGUAAUUGAGUUAUUUACUCAAAACAUUAUCAGAUUAUGAGAGAAUCGCGAUCCCAAAAGUAGAAAUGUAAUUAAUCUUAUUGUACCAUCCAUUUAAUUAAUUGGGUUAUCGGUUUGGAUUUUUAUAUGUUUUAGUAUUAAAUGCAUCUCUUUAUCUUUAGUUUAAUUCUGUUGCCACAGCAAUAAAAAUAUUCUCUCUUUUAAUUAUUGUUGGAACUUUCAUAUCUUGUGUUCACAUCCAUACCAAUUAAAAAGCAAAUUAAUUAAUUGUAAACAUAUUUCCCAAAAAAAAAAAGGAAAUUAAUUGUAAGCUCUUAAUAUUUUUAAUUUAAGUGCCAGAAAUGCAGCUCGCCAACACAGUUCCUACAACUCAAACUAGGUGCGGUUCCAUAAAAUAUAAUUUGGUCGGCCGGCUUUUGUGUUCAAUAAAAAGCUCAAAAUAGACGUCACAGCUUCUUUGUGGCCAAAUUAUUUUAGUUUUAGCUUUUCCAUCCCAAAAGAGCAAGAAAGCGAUUAUAUUUUUUUUUUAUCUUCAACUUGAAUUAAAUUAUUGCUUAAUUGUAAUAUAAAUAUUUUCCUUUUUCAUUUUAUGACGUCACCAUCCUUUAGAAUUGAUACCCACGUCCUAACUAGUGGUUCUUUCAAUGAAAGUGAUGUGCGAACGUCAAUCGUCUUCAAUAAUUUCUCACUUUUCUUAAAAAAAGAUAAAUAAAUCAAUUAUUUAUUAUGAGAAUAUCACGUGGUUUUUUUUUUUUUUAAGGAUUUGUCUGCCUUAGAUAAAUUGAUAUGCUUCAAUUUAUACCUCAAAUUAUUAAAAAUAUUAACCGGCCCCGAUAUAUCAUUAAGAAAACAAAAAUUUAAUAAAAAUUUUCAUCAACGUAAUUCCUAUUUAUAUUUAUAUUUUGAAUGGUAAAUAAAUGUUAAUUUUAACUAACUUUUUUAAGAAUUCAAGUUCUCUUUAUUAAAUAUAGGUUAGCUAAAUUAGUUUUAAAGACUCCUUCUUUUACUGUUUUAUUGUAGGAUUUUUCCAACAAUUAAUUGUGGUACUUUAUAAGUUUGAUUUUAUGAAUAAAUUGUUUUCAAAAAUAAAAAAGAAGUUAAAUCCAUAAAGAAUUGAAAGUUCAUAAGAUUUUAUAUAUUUUUUGAUAAAAAUUCUAUAGAUGUUGUUGUCAAGAGCUAUCCUAAGACCAGAAAAAUAAAUUAAAUUAAAUUCACCUAUAUACAAAAGAAAAGUGAAACUACCGAGUUCCCAUUACUUUUUAAUUUCUUCAAUUUUAUUCAUUCAAUUUCAAUCAAUAAAAAGAUAAAACACAAUACAAUUUACUGUUUAAAACAAUAAAAUUGCAUUGACUUUUUUUUUUUUUUGGAAUGAAAAUUUUGUUAUAGAGAAAAGAUAAGGGUUUAAAAAGAGACCAAUGAAUCCUCUAGUAGACUCUUUUGCAGUCAUCCCACAGUCCCACUUCCAUAAUGGCAACAGGCUAGUUUUAUGCAGGAUGCCAAUAGGCAAUACCUAUUUGGUAGAAGACAUCCUCAUCAACAACUCUUACCCAUUCUGUGCUUGAAUUGGUACAGGUUGAACUGAUAAUUUUACAAUUUUAGGCAACUGUUAAUCAUAAUUUGAUGAUUAUUAAGUUCAAUUUUAAUCAAUAUACUAUUAAAUAUUAGGAUCGAAAACAAAAGUUAAUCAUAAAUAUUUUUUGAGCGUGGAGUAGAAUUCCCACUUCCACUCCUAUAAGGGAAGGGGGAGCGGGAAUUCACUCUCACAUCUUUCUUUUUUACACUUUGCUUUAUUAAAUAUAAUAUUAGUAUAUUUAGUUACACAUAAUAAUUUAUUUAAUCUAUGUAAAAAUUAUUUUAAAAUAAUAUUAUUAUAUUCAUGGAGAAUUAAUAAAUAUUACUAUUAUUUAAUUUUAAUAGGAUUAUAUUUAUUUAGUGUUAAUAAUUAAUAAUAACAAAUAGUUUGUUCUAAAAAAAAUUAAUUUUGUACUAUAUUAUUAUUUAUUAAUAAUAAUGUUUCAUGUAUUGCUCUUAUUAAUAAUUUUUAAUUUACAUAACUAAAAUCAAAAUUAAUAAAAAAAUUAUGAUUUACAUAAUUAAGAAUAUUAUUAUUAAUUUAUAUAAUUUCAAUUGAUAAUAAAAUACAUAGUUUAUUUUACACAUAUAUUUUUUAUUUACUUUAUAGUUAAAAGCUACAAUUCUUUAAAUAAAGGUAAAAUUGUAAUUUGAAACAAUUCACUCCCAAUUUAAGACAAAAUAAAUACAUAAAUGAUAUUCUAAUUCCUAUUCCACUCUCUCAUUUUUGUACAAGUAAACAAUAUACUCACACUCUCAAUCUUAAGAUUCUUACUUCUCGUGAUUUCCAAUCCAAUCCGAUAAGUAAACACUAUUUUAGUAUUUUACUCCCAUAUACUUAAUCAACAGAUAUAAAUCCUUGAUCUUUUUUAUAAAAUAAAAUAAAAUUGAAUUCUAUACUUAGCCCUAAUAUAGCGGCCUUACAAACCCAUACUUAUGGGUUGUUUUGCCAUUUCUAAUCCCACCAUAUAAAAAAAGAACUUAAAACCCCUAUGUUUUCCAAAGUAUCUGCUCCUAAUUGCCUUCUCAAAAAAUAUGAGAAUAAUAGAAAUGCAUGCCAUGAAUUAAAAAUAAAACAAUUGAGAAAUUGCAUUGAAUAUUUGAAUUGGUUGAUGAUAUUAUAGCUCUCAUCAAAUUUUUAUUCUAAUUGAACAUCUCUCAAAAAAAUAAAAAUAAAUAAAUAAAAUAAAACACAAAAACAGAAAACAGAAAACAGAAAACGAAAACAGAAACAGAAACCACAAUUAAUUAAUUGAAUUACAAAAACAGAUACAAAUACAAAUACAAAAUCUCGGGAAACCCAACUUGUUUAAAAAACAGAGCCAGCUACUCAGCUUGCAUUCAUUUGCCUCCGCGCAACCCAACAAUUUCCUCCGUUCGCCAGCUCAUCUCCCGUUCCGUUAUCUCUUUUCGCUAUGCUCCCCAAACGACGACGUUUUCAGCUUACCGUCAUCAGGCCGUCACCGUCAAAUAUAAGCCCUUAAAACUCCAUUCCACUGUUUACAAAUCUCUCUCUAAAUUCUCUCUUUCUAUCUCUAAAUUUGUCUCUUUCUUUUCAUUUCCCAGAAAACAAAAAGAAGUUCCCCUCUCUUUCUCUCUCUAGAAUUCAUUCAUGUCGGUACGUAAUCACUUUCUCUCUCCUUAAAGUUUCCAUUUUUAUUGUAAAGUUUCUAAUUUUUUUUUUAAGUUUCUAUAUUCGUAAUUUCCUCUUUUUUUGUGGGGUUGCUUUUGAUUUAAUUCGACCGAUUUGAGCGUUGAUUGUGUUGAUUUUCGGCUCAACUUGAGAUUUACUGAAAUGGGUUUAUUGUUCAUUGAUGUGAUCUUUGAUUGAUUUGGAUGUAACUUUGAUGAGCUUGAAUGAUGCUAAAUUUUGUGUUCAAUUUCUAAGUUCUGCUUGUUAUUUUAUGGUUCGUGUUCAUCUUUGAUUGCGAUUAAUGAAUUGCGUACUGUUUCAUUUGUUUCUGCUACACUUGUAAUUGAUUACUUUUUCUUGUGAUAAUUUUGGUUUUUAAUCAAAUAGUACAUGAUUAAGAAGUUUUCUGGAAUCUGAUCGAGGAAACAUGAAGAAGUUUGCUUCAAACUGAAAAGUUAUGUCUUGUAUGUUUCUAGAUUCCUGUUGUGAAUGAGAAUCAAGAAAUUUUUAUGGUAAUUUGAGCUGGUAGAUUACUCAUUAAUGUAUAGAUGUCAAAAAUGUUGUGGAACAAUUAUUUGGUGGGUGGUAUGGUAGAAGCUGGUUUGGUCUUUUCAGAUAUAAUUAGAAGAUUGAAGUUAUGAAUUAAAUGGGUUAGCAUCAUUUAAGAAUCUAUAAAGUAUAUAGGGCAAGCUUGGUUGGUCGAUGGAAUUUUACUUGCAAACUGUUGACUUGUGUGGUUUUGAAGUGCCAAAGUUGAAUGCCGUGGAUGGAGAUGUUACAGAGUGUAUAUUAAUAUUGUAAAUUUGGAUUUGUUUUAUCACGGGGCAUUUAACUAAUUCCAAGAAGCAAUUCAAUCCCAUUUUUUAUGAUGUUGGUUCCUUCUUUCUUUUGGUGACUUCAUUCAAGAUGACGGAUUUGUGUGCUAGAUAUUCUGCAGAAUGGGAAUGACCUCUUUAUUAGAGGAGUCAUGUAUGGCUUUAUAGUGGAAUUACAUUAGUUCUCUUAUGAUGGUUUGCUGAAUUAUUUGAAAUUCUUGGUUGUUCAUUUCUGUUAUGCAAAAUAAGUGUUAGGCAGAGUAGAGUUUUUUUUUUUUUCAGAAAUUGUUGGCCUUCUGUGUGCAUGCCACUUUCUUGGUUGGUCAGUGAUAUUUCUGAAUGCUUAUUUGUGAGAUCUGCUUGGACUUCGAAGUUGAUUGUAAAGAUGUUUUAUAGUUAUAAAAAAAUCCAUGUUUUGACAUGACAUUUUUUCAAUCUACUGAAAGUAUCUUUUAUUUAAUUGCUGUAGCUGUAUGGUACUAACUUCGUGCACUUUUAUCAAAUACAAUAAUGGUUACUGUGAGUUCUCAUAGUUAGAACUUGGGUUUUAGAUGUAGAUAAUUUAAAAAGAAUUCCAAAUCAACUAUUAGUCUGUUUUUCACAACAUCUUUCUACAUUUUUGUUGACAUCAGGUACCAAAAAAAAAAAAAAGAUUUUAUUUUUCUUGCAGUUUAAUGUAUCUUAGGCCAUCAGUCUGUUAGGAACAUUGGCUUUGUACUUGUGUGAUCAGGGCUUUCUGAAAAUGAUCAGCUUCAAUUGUCUAUAUUUUUGAGUUUGUGUCGUGACAAGAUUGGAUUGUCAAUGGCUUGACAAAUUGAUACUGGCAUUUGGAUAUCUAAUCAAUAGAGAAGAUAUUAGUGUCAUUCAACCCAGGUUUACUAUAGUAAAAAUUUCAUUUAGUAUGGAGGUACAUUGAUCCUGGCAAUCAACAACUUCAUGGACCCUAUCAGGCUAAGCGUGUAAGGAUUGCAAUUCUUGGAAACUGUUUCAUUAGGCUAUCGUUGUUUAUCAUUGUCUUGUUUGAUGAUGGUGCCCAUUUUUGACAUCUUUUGUGGUUAAGUACUUUAAGUUGGAUUAGGAAUUCUGUAGAAGAGUUUUAUCAAAUCAUGUAAGACCUGGAAGAGCACUUUGAUUGAUCUAGACAACAUUUCUUGCAAGGUCUUAGUUUUGUUAAAUUUGAAUUCCUGGAGUCCGUAUAAUUUUGGCAAACAAUAGAACUGUUGCAAUAUACGGUUGCCUAAGAUGGUUACCCAUGGCUAACAACUAUGAGUUCUCACCAAACAGGACAAGGGUCGCCCAUUGCCUAAAUUUGGUGAAUGGGACGUCAAUGAUCCAGCUUCAGCUGAAGGAUUUACUGUGAUCUUUAACAAGGCCAGGGAUGAGAAAAAGACAGGUGGCAAACCAGACUCGCCUGGAAAGGUUGAUCCUCCUAUUAGGCAUGGGGUGGAUCCUGCAAAACCUCAGCCUGUAAGUCUUCCGUUUUUAUCACUGCACUAGCCUUUUUUCUUUGAAAUUAAUGGCUGUAAAAGGACAUGUAAGUUUUUUUGCAUAUUAAUGGUUUGUGUUUGUGGGAAUGCACUGUUUACAGCGAAAGUGGUUUUGCUGCAUCCAAAGCCCUUCUGCUCAAUCUUGAUGAGGUCCUGCCCACUUAAGAGCUUCGAUGUAAGAGUAUCUUCAUCUGUAACUGGUGCCCCACAUUAAAAGAAUAUAGAAGCUGUAGAGCUGUGAUGAGUUGUGGUGGAAUUUGUUUUUGUGCUGUAAAAAUUUGAGUCAUGGUGGGGGAAAGCAGAAAAAUACUUACUGUAUCUAUAUGUACUGAUUUUGUGGGUUAUUAUUAUUACAAAGCCAAGCUAUUUAUUGUAUUUCCUUUCUCUGUUCUAUGGGCUGUAGAUCUUUUGUUUUGUGACAUAUAUUCUUUCUGCUUGUUGUAUUGGUGAAUUGAAAUUGUCUGUGAAACAACUUUUAUGAAAAAAGCCUUUAUGAAAAGCAUUGAACAGCAGAAUCUUGAUUUUAGCGACAAAGAAUUUAGCGCAAAAGUUGAUAUGAAGAUAAUGAACAUGAGAGAAACAAAGAUGAUUUCUGUUGUAUUGUGAUUAGAUUUUGAAAGGGGUUAUACGUAAGCCUAUUCGAAGGAAAAUGCUUCUUUGGAUUAAUCGGUGAUGCAACAUUCGCGACUUGCUAUGGAAGUUGGUAAUAAUCUGGUUUCGAAAUGACUAUGACUAUAGCAUUUAUACAACUAUUGCCGUUUAUGACUUUCAUGCGGCUUCGCGACUUUCCCAAGGCAUGCUUCUUCUCCAAACCAAAAAAAAAUAAUAAUAAUUCCGGGGCGGGCAUGAUUUCAAGAAGCAGAUGAAGUUUAGUGGCUUACGGAUGUGAUUCAAGUAACUAAAAAGACCAAUGUAAAGUCCUUGGAUCUAUUAUCAUUGAGAUAACUAUUCAAAUGUAUAAUUUAGUUUCUGUAAGUGUUCUUCUCUGGCCGGCAGAUCACAAAAGAAACAAAAAACACGAAACAGCACUAGGCUGUAUAAUCCUACAACUCAUCGCUUGAGGACCAGAGCUAAACUCUGGACAUCCCAAGCUUCCUUUCGAACAGGCGGCGGAGGAGGUAGACUUGAAGAACACUUGCACCGACAAGUGCAGUGGAUUCCCAGAAUGCUUUGUAAACUGCCCUCCGACUCAUUGCUUCAUUUACUGCAUUUCCAAUUGAAUGAAAAUUGUAAGGAAACAGAUUAUUGAUAUCAAUUAAAAUCAUUUUGUCUGAGGAUUGUGGGGAGAACAUUUCUGUGAUGGUCACAACUAAAAUCAUUAACGUGCCAAUCACAUUAGUGGCGUAAGAAUAAAAGAAUGAUAUAAUCUUUAUAUGUAGGGGUGUCACUUGGUUAAGAAGCUUUGAUCAUCUAAUGGACAAGUUCAUUUCCACAAACCUCAGAUCCAAUUGGCUAGUGAAACAAAUUCACCAUUAAAAUCAUUUGUUUGGCUUGAGACUCUUGAGGAUGACAAACAUGAGAUUGAAGGAAAAACAUCAAACUGGACAAGCUUCCAUCUAACUUAAAAUUAAGAUAUGUGCAGCUCAAUACAUACCUAUUGCCUGGCGUUCGGUCUGCGCCUCAAGCCAAUGCUGUUCGAACUGAAUGUUGUAAAGGGCUUCCUCCAAUUUGGAUAUCUGUUCUAGCAAAGGAUUAAAAUGCUCUGCACAUAUGUGAGAGAGUAAUAGUAAGAACACCUCUUUGAAGAAGAUAAAAACAGGAAAGAACAAGGUGCACCCACUUACCAUCUUUGGCAUGCUCAUCAUAGUAUGAAAAGUGGCCAACAUGUACAUCAAAGUCUAUGGUUUCAUGAUAUGGAGACUUGUUUGUGAAGCAGAAGCGGUGGACUCCUUUAUGAUGGGCCACAAACUCAAAUUUCUCACUGAUCUUAUCACGAAAAUCAUGAAUCUGAUCACUAGCAGGUCCCUUCACCUGCAGAGUUUAACAACAUUCCAUGAUCAGUGCUAUCUUUCACAGGAAACUCAAAAAAUAGAAAUAAAUAGAUAAUAACAAGCUUAACAUACUAUCGAAGACACAAAAAUGUUAAGAUUCGGUCAGGAAAAUUUACUUUAUGAACUUUCUAAGAGAAUCAGAAUUAAUCACUACAUUUUGUAGCUACAUAUAUCAGGCAACUGCUGAAUUAGUACACAGACUUCCUCAUCAGGAAUAACUGUCCCUAUCAAUUCAGAACUCACAGCUUAUCUUUCGCAAUUGCAUUGCUGAAAAUCAAAACAUAAGGUGUCACAUAAUUUGAAGCAACUUAUCUAAUUUCUUCUACAUUGGAAAAGGUAACUUGAGCGAAGCAAACUUAGACAAGCCAAACCCUCCCACAGACAAAGGAAACUAUACUCCAUAUACGGGUUUCCACAUUUGUCUCAUAUAUUUGAUUGAAAUGAGGGAUGUAUAGGGGUAAAUUUGGAAUGAUAUUUUUAGAUUAAUUAAUGAAUGAUACAUGAACAACUAUUAAGGGCAAAAUACCGGAGAAAUAUAAAAUACCAUUUUGAUGAAUUUGCUAUAUUGGGUGGGCUUGGAAAUCAAUAGUCAAGGUUAGACACUUCAAUUUAUUUAUGGGAAAAAAUAUACCUAGUACAAAAGGAAUAUUCUUUUCCUUUUUCCCUAAGUAUGACACAUGGCCCUAAAACAUUCUCUCAUUUUAACUCAAGAAUGACGUCUAGCCCUAACUUUUACACACUCUCCUUACCAUUAGCUUUCACUAUAUAAAUAUCUUAUUCACCCAUAUUACGGUUCACUCUCCUCUCUCUGACACUUUCUCUCUCUUCUCUUCCCAUCCUCUCCCCCCCCCCCCCUCUCUUCCACUUCUCUCUCUUCCUGUCAAUCUUUUAGAUCAUCACCUAUGUCUCUAUUUUUGGAAGGCCAUUUCUAUUAUCCACCUUCAUCAUCGCCUCCACCAUUAUUAUCACUCUCCAUAUCUUUAUUCACUAUCUUCAUCUUUAUUAACACCAAACAUCUCUAUAUAGUUAUUUAGCUUGUGUUAUUUAUCUUAGAUAAUGUAAAAUCUUAUGUAAUCUCUCAUUCAUAUAAUGGAUUGGAGAUAACUUGCUCGUGUAGAUGUAGGCCAAAGGCCGAACCUUAUUAACCUUGUGUGCUCUUUAUGUUUAUGUUUGUUUUACUAUAUUUUCAAUUUGAGGUUGAGAUUGUGUUUCACCUAUGAGCAUACCUGAGAUACCUCAGUUACACUAAGUAUACUGUGAGACCACCUCAGUCAUCUCCGGAGUACACCUAAGCUACUCCGAAGCACACAUUAACCCCCUUCAUAUCACCUUUUAUGGGGCUUCACUAAGCUCUCCCUAUUAUUCCUCAUAUGACUACCUUAGCUUACCAUGCAUAUUACUUCAGCACACCACCUAGUAUACCUCAACUAAACCACCUGCUCCAUACAUAAGAAAAACAUACCUAAAUCCAAACUUAGCACAAGCUCCCUUCAAAUAUAAAUUUAUUUGUUUGAAUCAGAUUUGAGCUGGAUCUAGUGAGAACCACUUGAUUGGUUCGAAUUAGAUCCUAGUGAAAAUUUGGUGAAAACAAGGGGCAUGAUGAACAGUUGCAAACAACAGGUAUGAUCUAAAGUACAUAUUGUUGACUGGACAUAGUGACUUAGGAAGGGAAUUUCAAAUUUCAAAUAAACCUGAAGAAUUCAUGCCACUGUCAGCACUCACCCUAGACAAGGCCGUUUAUACAUGUUGCCAUCUGAAUGUAAAUGUUAAUCACAUAAAUCUAGACAGAACAAUUAUCAAAAGAAACUUAAAGCCCUACAAAAUCUAAAGAGCCAGUAUUAUUUUCUAACUAAAUUUUAUCAUAGAAAGCAAACUCCUAAAUACCAAAUAAUAAAAAAUAAAAAUAAAAGACAAAGAUGGAGCUUACCACAAGAUCAACACCGUCGUGACUACUAUACCAAGAUGAAUCAGCCUUAAUGACAACAAAUGAAGCAUGAACCGUGUCGCCUUCAUAUUGUACAUUAUGAGAAAAACAUUCUUCUCUAUCAAUCACAAAUCUAAUACCAUAAACAGCCUGUGGGCUAAAAAUAAAUGCCAAAAUUGCAGCAAUACAGAACCCAACUGGCCCAACUUUCAUCUGUAAAUCAAAGAAGCAAAAUUUGCAGAUUAUGAGCUUGGAUCAAACAUAAAAGUCUCUACUUAUUGUUAGAAAGAAUUGCUACUCCCCUACCCCAAAUAAAUAAAUAAAUAAAUAAAACCCACAUCCAUAAUUUCCCCACGGUGGCUUCCAAAUGAAAAUCAAAGGAUAUUCCAGAGAAAUUUUGAAACCUAUUGCCUUUUCUUUUUUUUAAGUGAAAUAACAAUUUCAGAUGUAAAUGCAAUCAAAAUUAAAAGAUGGGUAUGAUUUGAUUUUCUGUUCAGUCGCCAAGAAAGAGAAGAAAGGCAAAUGAGACUUCGAUCUUACAUUUUUUUCAAUCGUUGUAGAGUCUAGAAAUGAAAAUGAUGCACCACAAGAAACGAUGUUUUUUUUUUCCCCUUUGACUGUUAAAUCAAACCAUUAAAAAGGAAAAAUUUCGAUAAAUGAACAAAUAAAUAAGCAAAAAACAAUUGUACCUUCGAUUGAAGUUGAACAAAAUCUUAAAACCUCUAUGGGUUAUCGAGUUUAUUUGAGUUAUUUGAGUUUUGUCAGUCGCGAUAACUUUGAAUUGUGAUCAGUUGAUCACGACUUCGCACGUACUUGCGUUGUUCUGUCUUAAUGAGGUUUUGAUUCUCUGUGUUAGGUCGCACAUUACAUAUUUUGCUACAACACGUGACUCCAGCUUAGAGGCUAAAGUUGACUUCUAAGGUCGUCUAUGAAACGAAUUUGCAUUUUAUUCUAAUUAAAUCGUUAUUAAUUGACAAUACAAAAUUAAAGUUUACACAUUUAUUUUUAAGGGAUUAAUAAAAAAAAUUUAUUUAAAUUUAGGAUAAAAUUCAUGAACAAAGAUCAAGAAGGUAAAAAAAAAAAAAGAAAAAAAAAAGAAGAGAACACACCACUACUCCAAAAACAGAAAACAAGUGGAAGCAAAUACGGCUAAUCCAAUAGAUUUAACCGUUAUCGAGCUUGGCAUUUUGCCAUUGUCCCUUCUUAACAAAAGGCCUUGGAACAAAGGCCAGUUGAUUAAAACCAGAAUCCCACACAGAAGAAUCUGCAAAACCAAUGUGUCAAUUCUGAUAUUAGCAUCACCAGUGGCCACUUUCGCUACCAACCCAACGAAGCAAAACAAGUUGAGCAAUGCAAGUGUUGCUAAUAUUAUGAACAUUGGGGAUGAAGACGAGGCUCCAGGUCCAAACUCCAUCAUCUCUUUCUCAUAUCUUUCUAUUACAUCUUCAUCUGCUACUUUGGCUGUGAUUUCAAAUGCUGGUUGAGAGAAUCCUGCUGACAUUAAAACGGCGUCGAUGAAGCCGAACAAGUAGGAGCUUGUCCUUUUAUAGAGCCAUAUCCUUUGGCUAUUCCACCAGCCUAGAAUUGUGCCACCACACCGCAGAAAUUCAGCUAGGCUGUACAAGUUCUUAGCUGAUAACACAAAUGCAAAUGGCAUACACCAUGGACUUGAAGCCUGCAUUCGUAAUACAACACAAAGUUAAUUAGUUACAUACUAAGCCUAAAGAUUAAUGGAAUCGGAACAAAAUAGGGAAUAUGUACCUUUGGAAAUAAGGAAAUGCCUUUGAGCAGAUAAAGUGAAGGGAUGAUAGUGUAAUAUAGUGUUGCAAAGCAAUUUGGAGCCCAGAGGCAAUAGCAGCAAUAACCCAGUUGAAGGCCAAAGCUGAUCUUUCCACGAGCAUACCAAGCAGGACUGUAACUGGAAAGCAGGAUCAGAAAGUCACCUGCAGACCAUCUCUUAUGCUGCACAAGCGUCUGCGGUAAUGUGGUCGUUGCAACACCUAAGAAUGCUUUCCUUUCUGGAUUGAAAUACACUGAUUUCCAUCCUCUCGUUUGAAUUGAUAGCCCUGUUAUUACAUCCUCAACUGGACACCCGUAUUUUACGCCCAUCUGCCAUCAAGCAUUCAUAAUGGUUCUCUAUCAGCACAAAUUUCAAGUGUCAUCAAGUGUUUGAUAUUUACUUCAAAAUAAUCAUGGGAAAAAACUGACCUCCUUUCCCCAUUGAGUAUUUUCCUCAUACGUACAGCUUGCAAGAGCCUUUAUUUUAUCCACUGUUUCUUCUCUUUUCCAAUCUUCCAUGCAUUCAUUAUCAAAUUUUUUUCCAGUGAGAGUAUUUCUUCUGUGGAAGCAGCCUGUUCCAACAUAUGGGGGUCCUCCAUAUCCAUCCAUACCAUGAAAUUCAACCUUUAUAAACAAAAAGUGAAUCAAAAUGUCAUUGAACUUAACAUAAUGAAAUAGAAAUGAGAUAUGUAAUGGUUAUAUAAUGAUUAGUAAUCAUCAACUCACAUCCAUGCCUAUGCGCAUUGAUCCAUCAUAGAUUUCAUUCUUAGUGAUGUUUCCAAAACUCUGCGGAAAUUGCACGAAGGCAAUCUCAUGGCCCUUCUUUUCAUCCAGAAAAAAGCAAAGUGCAUCCCUCACAGAACUUGAAUAGUUUGAGUACAUGUCACAGUCCACAUUAAGAAUGAUCUGUCCAUUGCUAAUGUUUUGUGACACCCUUAUCUGCAAAAUGAAUCAUCAAAAGUGAAAUGACUGAUUUGUUAGUCAUGAUAACAUCUUACUAUCAUAUGUUCUGAUGAAUAUAUACCAAUGCAUUCAUUGCUCCAGCCUUGAAAUUGUGGGGAUGCUGAGGCCUCUUCUCACCAGCCAAAUACACCAGAGUUGGCAAUGAACAUCCAUCAAUAUCUUUAGCUUUGGGAUCCCUUCCAUCAAUCAAUAUCUGUAGAAUUUUUCAAAUAAAACAACAUUACAGAUGAUUUGGCUCAAUUGAAGCACUUAAAUAAAUUGCUUCAAUUCAGCAAAGCAUGAUAAGAUAACAGCUUUUGUUUCUUUAAAUAUUAAUAGGACAUACUUGAAGAAUGGUGUCGUGGUCACGUUGGGAAGAAAAUGAAUCCCACUGCGAAAAUCCUUUAUAUUUUGACCUUACUUCUUCAGGUAUUCGGCCUAGCUUGGCUGCGGUUAUGAUUCGAUUUUCCAUAUCUUCAUAUAAUUUCUAGACAGAGAAAAAAAAUUGCAUGAAGGCUAUGUACUACGUCUAAAAGAACCGAAAGCAGUCAAAAGAAGUAACCAGUUCCCAUUCCUUGAUUCAUGCUAUACUAUAUUUUGACUUAUUUGUACCUUGAUGGCUAAAAACCCUUUAGCCUCCUCUGCCUCAUGUGGUUCAGAAAUUGACUGAAAAUAAGCACCUGGUGACCUAGGCUCCACAUAAAAUUUCUUGCAAUAGGGGAUCCAAUGCUCUGCAAAGUGAGAUGCCUCUAUGAGAGCAUAAAAUGUAAUAUCGUGAGCAGCAUCGUCUGAGAGAUAUACACUAAGCUUCUCUGUAGGAUAAUCGUAUGCCAUGACCGAUAAAACAGUGUUGAUCACCAUGAUUGGUUGCUCUGUCUUGGGGUCUGCUGUGCAUACAAAAAUAUCCACCCCGGGCAAGUCAUUCUCAUAUCUGCAAAUGAAAAUAUAUAUAUAUAUUUGCUUCCUUGCCGUGAUAAUCAAGUUUUAAAUCUUUUCCAUUAACUUGUAAAUAAGAAUGCACAAAUAUGUAUAUAUUUCUGUUGUAUAUUUGAGUCUUUAGAAAUACAGCUCAUAUGUGUCCUUCUAGCUUUUCUAUUUCAUUAUUAACUGGUAACUGUUCUAUAUGGCAGCAUAUGUAGGUUAAAAGUUCAAACUUUCUGUGCUUAAUUUCUCAAGUUCAUGGAGUAAAAAAAAAAAAGACAACUAACAAACAACACAAAUACUAAAGAAAUUUCAAGAGAAGAGACAGGGACCUCUGUGAGAGCCUGUCCUUGAAGGUGCGCCGGUAGACACAGUUCCAUCUAAGGGCUUGAGUAAGAACCCAGUAAAGACUAAACCAUAGCUCAGCUCCCAACAAACCAAUCCAUGCCCAUCUCCCAUCUUCUCCAUUUCUUGGCCUGUGACUCAAUCUGUAAACUACUAUGAAACCUAUUCCCACAAAAAUAGACGCUGCAAAAAGUCUACGUAUCACUCUUUCCUUGGCUCUCUUUGUUUCGAACAGAGGAACAUACGCAUCACUACCCAUUUCUUACUUCCAAAAGUGAAUUCAACAGCAAUAUGCUUUAGUAUUGGUUAAUGGACUGAUCUAAAGCACUUUUUGUUUAGCUACUCUGAUAGUUAAUUAAAUGCUGUAACUAAGGAAUCUUUGCAAAUAAUAAUAAUAACAACAAUAAUGGAGUGAGUGGCGGUGGUCCUCCUGAUAUAUUCUGAAUGAAUUUUCACCAAGACCCUUGUUAAAGACAUAAAUUCCCACAAAGUUGCUUUCAGCAUACCGUCAGAGGACAUGCUAGUGAAUUAGAAAGAUAGACUUGAAAUUAAAAUAAAAAACAAGAGGCCAAAAGUUGGCUUUAGCAUUUUUUUAAGCUUUAUUGGUAGGAAAAAUUAUGCCAAGGGCAGAAACAAUUAGUUUGUUUUUGGUAUGCUGGCUGCAAGUGGCAUAAUCGCCACGAAAAGAAAUUGUUGUGAGAGAGAAAAAGAAAAGAAAAUUCAAUACAAGCAUGCAAAACAGGCACCAACAGACGGGUAAUACAAAUUAAUGCUUAAGCUCUCUGAGAGCUUAAUUGGCAUCUUGCCGUUUUCCUUCCUCGAGAGAAGGCGUUGAUACAAAGGACAGUUGACGGGGACUAAAACUCCACAAAGAAUAAUUUGCAAGACCAUUGCUCUCUCAUCUAUAUUUGCUUUCUUCACCACCCAAAACAAGCACAGAAUAAAUUCAACCACAAAAAAAUAUAUAUAUAUAUGUGCAGCUAUGGUAAGGCAAGCCACUAAUUCUCUGGCAUUCUAAUAUUAAAUUUUCUGGGAGUCCUAAGCACUAGUUGCUGGCACUAAGUAGGAUAGUUCUACACAAAAUCUUUCUCCUUAGUCAGCAAUCUUUGCUAUAGAGCUAUGGCUACAAAUGCUGACUCAGAAAAUCCAUGUGUCUUUAAAAUGGAUGGUGUGGAUGAAUUGUUUUAAAAAUCCAAUGUGAGCAAUGACGUGACGUCGUAUGGUGUGACUUUUUGUUUAUAGACAAUAAGAAGGGAGGGCUUAAUUGAUUAGGACAAAAGAAAGUGUGAAUUAUUGGAGUAGUGAGUUAUUUUUGUAGCCAACUUGCCUUUCAUAUAAAAUAUUCGUAUGCGUUUUCAGUCGAUUUUGAGCGAGUCUCACGAAACAAUUAAAGUUUAAAUUAUGUGAAUCCAUAUCAAAGUAUUUAUAUCUCAGUUUUAUAUCAUCUACACGUCAGAAAACUGAGUAUUAAACCAAAAUGAAAGUGGAACGAGUUAUAUAAGUGUUGUUUUGAUUCUUAUUGAGAUAAUUAAUAAUUCUAAUAAAAUCGUAAUUGUAAUAUAGGUUUUGAGUGUGUCGACAGUGCCUCAAAAAUGCUGUAGGUAUCCUUUGUUGUGGGAAUAAUGCAAAUGGUAAAGUGGUAUGAACCAUAGGCUUAACUGACAACUCACAGAUAAUGAUAUAAGCCAUUAAAUCAGCAGUUUUCAAAGAAUAAUUGCAUAUACAUUUCAUCCUUGGCAUAUUUGCUAGCUUUUUCUCUCCACAUGUAACCAUGAGCUAAAGAUAGUGCACUUGGAAUAUAAUUUGUUUUAAUUCAUAAUUCAUCUUUAUCUUAACAUGUAAAAUUUGAAUGUGAAACCAAGAAUGAAGUUCUUUCUCAUACUUGAUAUAGAUGAUAAUAUUCCCAAAUUAGACAAAUUCAUGCAUGUGAAAAGGAUAUGAAGAGCAAUUUGCAUCUUAACAAGUGAAAUAUAGUUCCCAGAAAAUACAAUUAAUCCCAUUCACAUUUGAGAUUCUUCAAUUUCGGCAAAAAAAAUGAGAAACAAACUUGUAGUGGGUUCAAUUAUUGGUAUGAAAUGCAAUGCAAUUUGCAAAUUUGCGGCCUCAUUCGUUGGAAUUUGGAACCAAGCUUCCCCUAUUUAAAUCGCAGUAACAUAGAAACUCUCAACUGCUAAGCAAACUUUGUUCUCUCGGUAGUCAAGCAUAGCAAUGGCGAAACAGCUCUCAGCUUUUGUUCUUUUGCUUCUCAUCAUAUUCCUUCUCAGCUCCACCAUGGCCACAGGUUAGUUAAUUUCUGACAGCACAAAACUCUACUUUUAUUUAUAUACAAGAUUUAUGCAUUGACAGUUUGAUGCCAAGUCCUGAGCUUGAAAUGUUUUGAGAGGUUUGAAAUAACAUGUAACAUUUUUAUUUCUCUGCAGCCGCGAUACCACCAGCAGAUGAAGGCGAACUGGUAUGAUUUUGACACACUCCUAGCAAUACUGCCCAAUUUAUACAGGAUUCUAUUUCGAGAACUCAAGAUACUGACUCUCUAUUAAAUUUCAUGAACGUGUUGAAAAAUUUAUGUUGGACAGGUCAGGCAAUUCGAGCAUGUCAUAGUGAACCGUCAGCCAAUUAGGCCUCCAGUAGUCCAAAACCGGGAGCAUAACAGGAACAGGUUCAGUUUCCUGUCGCACACAAGGAGUAUAACUUUAAGUUCUUUUUUUUCCAUCUAAUGCAUCAAAUCUUUGUACUUUUUUUUUCCAUUUUUUUUUUGUUUCCAGGGAGCAAGCAACAGAUACGCCAAACUUGGAUGGCAAGGUUUCCUGGGAAGGGCAAACAACAUGGUGCAUUGCGAAACCUUCAACUGGAGAUGAACGGCUAAAUGCAAACAUACAAUUCUGCUGCCAACAACCAGACAUAGAUUGCAGCAUUAUACAACCUGGGGGCCGGUGUUAUAAUCCUAACAACUAUUACUCGCAUGCUUCAGUUGUCAUGCAUCUCUACUACAAGGCCAAUUACAAGCUACCCCACACCUGUGAUUUCAUGCAGAGUGGUCGGAUUAUCUCUCAGGAUCCAUGUAAGCUUGAAACUUUCCCUUCUUCCACAAAAUCUCUGAUCUAUACACCUAUAGUUUGCAUCAUGCUUUCCAUAUUAUGAAAGCUAAAAUGCGAAGAACUGAUGUAUAGAAUUUUCAUGUUUCUUGUUUGCAGCUGUUGGAGAGUGCAUAUAUGAACCCUGAUGAUAAUGAGGAGAAAUUAUAUUACUUAUAUAUCAUAGUAAAUAAGAUAGAAGAUGUGAAAAAUCAGGACUGGGUAUAUGGAAAUUAAAAGUUUACAUUGUCCAUAGUUAUAAAUUGUAUGUGCUUCCAUGUGAAGUUAUGUGGCCAAUGAUAUAAAAAUUCAAUUUGUAAAUUGCUAAUCCGAUCAAAGGCAAGCUCAUACAGUUGUAUUAUACAUAUUAUUUGUGAUAAUGCUAAGUCAAAAACCAAAUGCAGAAGCUCUAACUUCACAGGUUUUUUGUUUUACUAGAGUGUAAGAAACAAGAAAAAAAAACAGAGUUUCAACAACUAUCAUUACUUUUAUUUUAUGAAGGAUAUUGAUGCUAAAAGUUAAAAACUCGUUCACUUUAAUCAGUUAAAACUACAGCAACAAAUGUAGACUUUUAACAAAAUUAAAAGACAAAAAUCAGUAAAAAGUUGGCUAUGGUAAUUAUAUAAGCAUUUUUGCUAGGGAAGUUAUGCCAAGGAAAGAAAUUGCAAGUUGAAUAAUCAUCGUGUAAAGAAAUGGUAUGAGAGAAAAUAGAAAAGAAAAUUUCAAUAAAAGCACUUAAAACCUAUACAAGCAGAUAAAGCCUUGUUUGGGUUUGAGUAGUUGUAAUUUAAAAAGUACAACACUAAAAUAUUUGUUAAAUACUAGUUGUUAUAGAAUGAAUGUAAGCUAAUUUGAUUUUAUACUUGUAAGAUGAAAAAAAUGCCAUAUUUUUACGGAUUUUGUCAAAAUUAAUAUAAAAAAAUUAUAUUUACCUCAUACUAUUAAUUUUUAUUAUAUAAUUACAAUUUUUUUUCCUGUAGUUGUAGAUUAAAAAUUACUUCACUUCAGUACCAAACAAAACCAAAGCUAACACAAGCGUUUUAGCUGUUAAAGAGCUUGGCAUCUUGCCGUUGUCCUUCCUCAAGAAAAGGCCUUGAUACAAAGGCCAGUUGAUGAGAACCAAAGUGCUGCAAAGAAGAAUUUGCAAGAUCAUUGUCUCGUACAUUUUAACAAAGCCAUCAUCUAUAAUCAUCCGCUUCACCGCCCCAAUCAAACAGAAUAAAUUCAGCAAAGCAAAUGUUGAUAAUAUUGUGAACAUUGAAGAGGUAUCUCCGAACUCCAUUAUCUCUUUCUUAUAUCGUUCUAAUACGUCUUGGCCAGCCACUUUUGCUGUAACUACAAAUGCUGAUUCAGAAAAUCCAAGUGUCUUUAAAAUGGUGUCGAUAAAGGCAAAUAGGUAGGAGCUUGUUCUUUUAUAAAGCCACAGCCGUUGAUCAUUCCACCAACCAAGGGCUGUGCCACCACACCACAGGAAUUCUACUAGGCUACCUCCAUACUUGGCAAAUAUCACAUAGGCAAAAGGUAUUAUCCAUGGGCUUGUGAUCUGUUUUCAUAUAGGGAAUUCUGUUAGUCAGAGACCAUGAUAGAAACAAUUUGAUUCCCUGAAGAAUGAAGUUUCAUGCAUUUUACAUAGGUCUCUAACUUCAAGCUAUUUUGUUGCUUCUUAAAAAAAAAAAAUAGAUAGAUAAUAACCAAGGUGCAAAUGAGAAAGUUUAUGAGAGAACUUACCUCUGGAAACAAGGGAAUUCCUUUGAGAAGAUAAAGUGACGGAACGACGGAGUAGAAAAGCGUUGCCAAACAACUUGGAGCCCAAAGGCCAUAGCAGCAAUAUCCCAAUCGAAAGCCUAAGCUAAUCUUUCCAUGUGCGUGCCAAGCAGGACAAUAUUUGGAAAUAAAAAUCUGAAAAUUACCUUCAGACCACCUCUUGUGCUGCACAAGCAACUGCAGUAAUGUGGUUGGAGAAACACCCAAGAAUGCAUCCCUUUCUGGUUUGGAAUAUACUGAUUUCCAUCCUCGAGAUUGAAUCGAUAGCCCUGUUACAACAUCUUCAGCAGGGCAUCCAUAUUUCAACCCCAUCUGCAGUGAAGCAUUCAUUUACUGAAAUGAGCACACAAAAACCAAAAAAUAAAAAUACAUCGUUCUCUAAUCUCUAUCAGUUUGUUUUCUGUUUAGGAAACAAAUUUUGUAAAACACCUCACCAAUUGCGGCCCUGAGUGAUUUUCGAUUAAACAAACUGUUUUAGAGAGGGAGAAAGACUGACCUCCUUUCCCCAUUGAGUGUUUCUUUCAUAUGUGCAACUUGCAAGAGCCUUUGAUGUUUCUUCCAAGUCAAGUAAACUUUCUUCGCCCUUUGAAUCCUUUUUACUCUUCCAUUCAAUCUUGGUUUCCUUGUUGUAUUUACUUCCACAGAGAAUUUCUCUUCUGUGAAAACAGCCGGAUCCAGUAUACAGAGGGCAUCCAUAGCCAUCCAAGCCUUGAAGUUCCACCUUCAUCACCAGAUUGUACAAAUUUUCAAGCAAAUAAAAGUAAUAAAAAAAAAAAAGAACUAGUUACAGCACAUUCCACAAUUAGAUCAUGAUUCAUAGACGCAUCUACAUGUGCUCACCUCAUUAAAUAUUCUUGAUGAGUUACUGUACAAUUCAUUCUUAGUAACAUUAUCAAAGUUCUGUGGAAACUGCACGAAAGCAACCUCGUGGCCCUUUUCUUCAUCUAUGAAGAAGCAAAGAGCAUCUCUCACAACUUGUGAAUUGUUUGAGUACAUAUCACAGUCUACAUUAAGAAUGACCUGCCCGUUGCUAAUUUUUGACGACACCCUUAUCUGCGCAUAGCAAAAAUUAUUUCUACGGCGUGAGUCAUUCGUUUAAAGGCUACUCCAUGUACCAACAUAGCCCUCAGUUAGUUUCUAUCAGAAUUUUAUCUGUCUUUCAAAGAUAUUUAUGAUCAAUAAGAAUAUUUCAGUAAUAUGAUGCUUAGAUUUACAUCUGUGCAUCAACUCACUGAAGAUAGACGGAUUAUCGAUGGCAUUAAUUACCAGUGCAUUCAUAGCUCCUGCUUUGAAAUUAUGAAAAUGCCAGGGCCUCUUCUCACGAGCCAGGUAUACCAAAGUUGGCAAUGCACACCGUUCAUUAUCAACAGCAUUUGGAUCUCUUCCAUAUAUCAAUAUCUUUGAACACAUAAGAGAAAGCAACUCAAACAUCUUGAACACAUAACAUUUUAGUAGGCAGAAGAACCAAAAUGCAGGCAAAAAAUGAUUGAAUUACUUGAAGAAUGGUGUCAUGAUCAAGUGGCGAAGAGUAAGAAUCCCACUGAGAAAACCCUUUAUGUUUCAUGCGUAUUUCUUCAGUGAUUCUACCAAGCUUGGUUGCAGUUUGGAUUCUAUUCUCCAUCUCUUCAUAUAAUCUCUACAAAAGACAAGCAUAUUAAGAACAAAUUUAAUAAAUAUUGAUAUAAAUACAUAGGAACAUAACAUAUUUUUUCCUGCAUCGUGUUCUUGAUUAUUAUGAAGCUAAGUAUCAAAUCACAAGAAUUUUAAGGCAAUUGAAAAUAUUAUAUCUCUUAUUAAUUCACAUUGUACAAAAAAAUGUGGAUUUUAUAAUUUUCUUUAUUUCAUAAAUGUUAUAUAAAUAUAAUCCAAAUCUCUCCACAGAUAAAAUGUAAGAACCUUACAGUAUCCUUCCAUUUGAUGAAAUAUUCUUAAUCAGAUUAUCCUCUUAAUUGUUAUUGAAAGACACAAAUCAUAUAUAGAUGUUGAUAUUUGUAAAUAAAAUAAAUGAAUUCUAUGCAUAAGUGGCACACGUGUAUCCCAUUUAUUAGUUACAAUUAGACAUAUAAAAUAAAAUUUUCUCUUUAUCAUGAUUAGGGAAUUAUCAACUUUCAUUAAUCACCAACCUUGACAGCUGUCAGCUCGUUGGAUUGACUUUUUUCACCUAGUGAUUCACCUACAUUGAUAAAAUACGCAGCAGGGGACCUUGGCUCUACAUUGAAUUUCUUGCAAUAAGGAAUCCAAUGUGUGGAGAAAUGAGAAGCCUCCAUUAAAGCAUAGAAAGUAAGAUCAGAGGAAGCAUCAUCAGAAAGAUAAACACUGAGCUUAUCUGUUGGAUAAUCAUACGCCAUUACUGAUAGGACUGUGUUGAUCACCAUCAUUGGUGGCUCUAUUUUCGGGUCUGCUGUGCAUACAAAUAUGUCCACUCCAGGAAGCUUAUCCUCAUAUCUGUUUCUCUUCAAAAUAUAAACAUAUUAGUCUACGUGACGCAAUCAUAUAAUAUCAUUUAUUAUAACUGUAUCGCCACGUAACAGUAUUGCUUACCUUUGAUAGAGCCUGUCCCUAAAAGUAAGCCUGCGGACUCUAUUCCACCUCAGGGAUUGAGUGAAAAUCCAGUAGAAACCAAACCACAGCUCAGCUGCAAACAAGCCAAUCCAGACCCAUAAUAAUUUUCCAUUUUCAUGUUUAUUCGGUAUGUGACACAAUCUGUAAACCCAUAUGAAAAAUAUGCAAACAAACACAGAAACUACAAAGACCCUGUAAAAAAUUCUACCCUUUACUCUUCUUGUCUCAAACAAAGGCAAAUAUCCAUCACUUGCCAUUUUUUUUUCCCCUCUCUAAGCUCUAUGCUUGGCUGUUCAAAUGUUCAAUUAUAUAUUCAUAUACAAUAAGGGUGAAUUUAGCACACUAUGGGUGCAUUUGGCACAUUGUAUUGUAUUAUGUUGUAUUACAUUAUUUUAAUAUUAGUGUAUUGUAUUAUGUUGUAUUAUAUUAUUAUUGUAUUAUAAUAAUGUUGUACAAUAUUUGGUGCUACAUUGUGCUAUAUUAAUUUUUAAUUAUAUUAUAUUUGGUGUUGCAAUGUACUAUAUUAAUUUUUAAUUAUAACAUAUUCACUAACAAAAUAAAUUUUAUUAAAUAAUCUAAAUAAGAGUUCUGUAGUAUAUGUAAUAAUAUUUUAUAUUAUUAUUUAAAUUAAUAUUAUUAUUACUUGUAUUAAAUUAUAAAUUUACUAAUAAAUUAUAAUGUAAAAAUGAAAAAUUAAUAUUAAUAUUAUAUAAUAUUCAAAAGUUAUUAUUAUUAUUAUUAUUAUAAAAAAAACGAGGCAAGCUAAAGCGACAACUAAUGCAUUAAUGGGUUGUGCUAACUGCCACAUUAGCACAGCCCAUUAAUGCAAUGCGUCAUUAAUUACUUUUAGUGCCAAACGUGAGUUUGUAUAAAUUUAAUACAAAAUAAUAAUUUUAUCCCAUAUAAUGUGGGCUACUAAACACGCCCUAUGUAUUACCUUGCGUUAAACUGUAUUAUAUUAAAGUAUUUUGUAUUAUAUUGCAUUAAAUUGUAACGUAGUACCAUGUUUUGUAUAGUAUGAGAUUUUUUAAAUUUAUUGAUUGUGGAUGACAGCCAUAGAGCAUGAGAAUGAAACCAAAGAACAGCCAACAGCAUUUUAAAAGUAAAAAUAUAAGAAUAAAACUACAUAGCUAAUGCUGCAAGCUGCCGCAUUAAGCAAACUCAGGGUUUCCCCUAGUUUGCAAAAUGCGGCAAAUACAAUCACCACAAUGCAGCCUUUUAUUUUGCCGAAAUACGGUGUGCCAGCACCACCCUCAUAAGGUUUUGCUGCCAAUUACUCCAUAUAUUUUACUUUAUUUUAAAAAAAAAAUUAUUGUUAUUUUUUUAUUUUAUAAAAGGGGAAAACUGGAAUUUGAUAUCUUAUUCAUUUUAAAUUAUUUUAGCAAUCCUUUGUGGUCAUAAUUUUGUGCGGAAAAUGCUCUCAGCAAUGAUGUGGCAGGGGCUAGUCACUUUUGUGGGUUGGAUGCUGACUUUUGCUUAAAAAAAGAAAGGGUGGAUUAGGAUGGAAGAGAUUUUCUUAUUGUAGUAAAUUAUUUUUUAAAUUGUUUUAUUAAACUUUAAGUUGAUUAACAUUGGAAUAAAUUUUUAAUGGAGGGGGCUAUUUGGCCAAUUUAUUUUUAAAAAAAUAUGAACGUUCGCAAAUGAGAAAUCUUUAUUACUAAGAAGUAACAUUGUUAAAGUACAUAUGAUAUACAUUAUUCUCAUAUGUAUAUAAGCAUUACUAGGCAUGGCAAUGAAGCUAAAACAAAAUAGACUUGAACUUAACAGGAAAAUGUAAUGCUGGUGCAGCCAUUGUCCUUGCCGAUGAAGGGCUAGAGCUUCAUAAAUUGGAACUUUGACCGAAAACCAUUAGCCCAUAAAGAAAAAUGAGAGAACAUUAAAUUUUUUUUAGAGUUCUGAAAUCCCAGGAAAAUGAUUUUUAUCAAUCACUUAAUCUCCAAUUAAGCUGAAAAGAUUUAGCCCUGCAAUUGUUCGCAAGGAUUCUUGUUCAUGUCUCUUUAACCCAUCUCCUGUGACCUCCUUGGCAGUGAUGGAAAAUACUGUUUGGAACAGCCCUAGCUAGUUGCUCAUAAUCAUGUCGACAAGCCCAAAACAAAAUGCAGCAGUAUUAUCUGCAUUCUCUAUAAAUUUCACCAGGCUUUGAGUGUGUGGCCGUAACUCAUGAAUAUGCCAAUGGUAUGAGCCAUACAUUUGACACCCGAGACAUAAUGAUAAAAGCCAUUAAAUCAUCAAUGUUCAAUGAAUAAUUGCAAAUCUUUUGAAGAAAAGUUGGUUCUAAGUUCUAAUAGGAGAGAUUCAAUAAUUACACAUUUCAAUCUUGACAUAUUGGCUAGUUUCCAUUUUGUCACUUGUAACCAUAAGCAAAAUAUGUAACACUUGGAAUAUAAAUUGUAAAAUUUGUAUGUGAAACCAAGAAUAUUAAAGUUUUUGUACUUAAUUGAAAAAGACAAUAAUAAUCAAAGAUAUUCUUCUUUAUCUUCACAUGUACAAUUUGUAUCUAAAACAAAGAAUAUUAAUAUUCUUGCUCAUACUUGAUAUAGAUAAAAAUAAUCUCAAAUUAGACAAUUACUGCAUGAAAAGGAAAUGCAGAAUAAUUUUCAUCUUUUCGACGAAAAUACAGCUCCCAAAAAUAAAAUUGAUUCCAUUCAUAUUAGUCUAUUCACUCUUGCAAUUCUUCACUUGGAAAGAAAAAUGAGAAAUAAACUUGUAGUGGGUUCAAUUUUUGGUAUGAAAUGCAUUGCGAGUUUUGCAGCCUCUUUCAUUGAAAUCAACUUUUCUUCAUUUAAAUAGCAGUAACAUCGAAACUCUUAACUGCUAAGCAAGAAUGACAAUGACAAAACAGCUCUCAGCUUUUGUUCUUUUGCUUCUUAUCAUAUACCUUCUCUGCUCCCCCAUGACUACAGGUUAGCUAAUUUGUAGCAACACAAAAUUCCAGUUAUACAUACAAAAUUUAUGCAAUGAUAGUUGAUGCCGAGUUUAGAUCUUUAAAUUUUUAGAGGUCUGGAAUAACUUGUAACAUUUGUAAUUCUCUCCAGGGGCAGUGCCACCAGCAAAUGAAGGCGAACUGGUAUGGUUAUGACAUACACUCUUAGCAUUACUGCCCGACUUUUAUACAGAAUUUUAACAUUUUAAUAAUCUGAUUCUAUGUCAAGAAAUCAAGUUCAUUGAUUCCCUGCUAAAUUGCUUGAAAGUGUUGAAAAAUUAUGAUGGACAGGUUAGGCAAUUCGAGCUUGUCAGAGCGAGCGAGCCUACAAGGCCCCAUAUAAUCCAAAACCGGGAGCAUAACAGGUUACAGUUUCCUGUCAAGCAAGUUCUCUUUUCUAUUUAAUGCAUCAAAUGAUCAAAUCUUUAAAUCUUUUUCCAGUGAGCAAGCAACAGACAUGUUGAAAGUGGAUGGCAAGGCUUCGUGUGAAGGGCAAACAACUUGGUGCAUCGUGAAACCUUCAACUGGAGAUGAACGGCUAAUUGCAAACAUACAAUACUGCUGCGAUCACGUUGACUGUAGCAUUAUACAACCCGGGGGCGCGUGUUACGAGCCUAACAACAAUUACUCACAUGCUUCAGUUGUCAUGCAUCUCUUCUACAGGGCCAAUAACAAGCUACCCCACACCUGUGAUUUCAUGCAGAGUGGUCUGAUUAUCUCUCAGGAUCCAUGUAAGCUUGAAAGUUUCCCUUUUGCCACUAAACUAUUAUCUAUACGCCUAUACUUUGAAUCUUGCAAUCUAUAUAUAUCAAAACUAAGAAUGUG